GACGUAGGGCGCGAGCGUUGUCCGGAUUUAUUGGGCGUAAAGAGCUCGUAGGCGGUCCGUCACGUCGGGCGUGAAAUUCCAGGGCUCAACCCUGGACCUGCGUUCGAUACGGGCGGACUAGAGUUCGGUAGGGGAGACUGGAAUUCCUGGUGUAGCGGUGAAAUGCGCAGAUAUCAGGAGGAACACCGAUGGCGAAGGCAGCCCCCUGGGCUAACACUGACGCUCAGGCACGAAAGCGUGGGGAGCAAACAGG
rnacentral:rRNA from 1 species